AAGUCGUAACAAGGUUUCCGUAGGUGAACCUGCGGAAGGAUCAUUACCGAGUAUCGGGUCCUCGCGGCCCGCACUCCAACCCUCUGUGUACCAACUUUGUUGCUUUGGCGGGCCCGCGGUGUAACGCUGCAGCCGGCUCACGCCGGUUAGCGCCCGCCAGAGAACCGUUAAACUCUUGUUUAAACAGUGUCGUCUGAGCAAAAUCAUAAUAGUUAAAACUUUCAACAACGGAUCUCUUGGUUCUG
rnacentral:misc_RNA from 1 species